rnacentral:rRNA from 1 species
UACAGAGGGUGCUAGCGUUAAUCGGAUUUACUGGGCGUAAAGCGUGCGUAGGCGGUUUGAUAAGUCGAUUGUGAAAGCCCCGGGCUCAACCUGGGAAUUGCGGUCGAUACUGUCGGACUAGAAAACGGUAGAGGGAGGUGGAACUCCAGGUGUAGCGGUGAAAUGCGUAGAUAUCUGGAAGAACACCGAUGGCGAAGGCAGCCUCCUGGGCCUGUUUUGACGCUGAGGCACGAAAGCGUGGGUAGCAAACAGG